rnacentral:rRNA from 1 species
AGCGAACGCUGGCGGCAGGCCUAACACAUGCAAGUCGAACGAAGUCUUCGGACUUAGUGGCGGACGGGCGAGUAACACGUGGGAACGUGCCUUUAGGUGCGGAAUAACUCAGGGAAACUUGUGGUAAUACCGAAUGUGCCCUUCGGGGGAAAGAUUUAUCGCCUUUAGAGCGGCCCGCGUCUGAUUAGCUAGUUGGUGAGGUAAAGGCUCACCAAGGCUACGAUCAGUAGCUGGUCUGAGAGGAUGACCAGCCACAUUGGGACUGAGACACGGCCCAAACUCCUACGGGAGGCAGCAGUGGGGAAUCUUGCGCAAUGGGCGAAAGCCUGACGCAGCUAUGCCGCGUGGAUGAUGAAGGUCUUAGGAUUGCAAAAUCCUUUCACCGGUGAAGAUAAUGACUGUAGCCGGAGAAGAAGCCCCGGCUAACUUCGUGCCAGCCGCCGCCGUAAGAC